UACAGAGGAGCUAAGCGUUGUCCGGAUUGACUGGGCGUAAAGCGCACGCAGGCGGCUGCGCGCGUGGGGUGUGAAAUCUGGCCGCUUAACGGCCAGGCGCCAUCCCAUACGGCGCGUCUGGAGUGAUGCAGAGGUCGGUGGAAUUGCCGGUGUAGUGGUGAAAUGCGUAGAGAUCGGCAGGAACACCCAGGGGGAAACCAGCCGACUGGGCAUCGACUGACGCUGAGGUGCGAGAGCGUGGGGAGCGAACCGG
rnacentral:rRNA from 1 species